rnacentral:rRNA from 1 species
UACGUAGGCAGCGAGCGUUGUUCGGAAUUACUGGGCGUAAAGAGUGUGUAGGCGGUGCUCUAAGUUCGGUGUGAAAUCUCCUGCUUAACUGGGAGGGUGCGCCGGAAACUGGAGUGCUCGAACGUGGGAGAGGAAAGCGGAAUUCCUGGUGUAGCGGUGAAAUGCGUAGAUAUCAGGAGGAACACCUGCGGUGUAGACGGCUUUCUGGACCAUUGUUGACGCUGAGACACGAAGCGUGGGUAGCAACAGG